AGAGACAGCAGCCGCCGCGGGAAUACGAAGGGUGCAAGCGUUACUCGGAAUUACUGGGCGUAAAGCGUGCGUAGGUGGUGGUUUAAGUCCGUUGUGAAAGCCCUGGGCUCAACCUGGGAAUUGCAGUGGAUACUGGGUCACUAGAGUGUGGUAGAGGAUAGUGGAAUUUCCGGUGUAGCAGUGAAAUGCGUAGAGAUCGGAAGGAACAUCUGUGGCGAAGGCGACUAUCUGGGCCAACACUGACACUGAGGCACGAAAGCGUGGGGAGCAAACAGGAUUAGAUACCCCAGUAGUCCCUGUCUCUUAUAC
rnacentral:rRNA from 1 species